UGAGGAAUAUUGGUCAAUGGACGCAAGUCUGAACCAGCCAUGCCGCGUGAAGGAUGAAGGCGUUCUGCGUUGUAAACUUCUUUUAUUGGGGAAGAAACCUAUUUUUUCUAAGAUAGCCGACGGUACCCAAGGAAUAAGCACCGGCUAACUCCGUGCCAGCAGCCGCGGUAAUACGGAGGGUGCAAGCGUUAUCCGGAUUUACUGGGUUUAAAGGGUGUGUAGGCGGACUUUUAAGUCCGUGGUGAAAUCUCCGGGCUCAACCCGGAAACUGCCAUGGAUACUAUUUGUCUUGAAUAUUGUUGAGGUGGGCGGAACGGGUCAUGUAGCGGUGAAAUGCAUAGAUAUGACCCGGAACACCGAUUGCGAAGGCAGCCCACUAAGCAAUGAUUGACGCUGAGGCACGAAAGCGUGGGGAUCAAACAG
rnacentral:rRNA from 1 species